UACGGAGGGCGCGAGCGUUAUUCGGAAUUACUGGGCGUAAAGCGCGCGUAGGCGGCUUGAUAAGCCGGCUGUGAAAGCCCCGGGCUCAACCUGGGACCGGCAUCCGGAACUGUCAGGCUAGAGUGCAGGAGAGGAAGGUAGAAUUCCCGGUGUAGCGGUGAAAUGCGUAGAGAUCGGGAGGAAUACCAGUGGCGAAGGCGGCCUUCUGGACUGACACUGGCGCUGAGGUGCGAGAGCGUGGGUAGCAAACAGG
rnacentral:misc_RNA from 1 species